UGCGAGGGCAUACAGUCCUCGCUUUUGCACACCGUAAGGAGGUAUGCGAAUAAGGGCUGGGCAAGACCGGUGCCAGCCGCCGCGGUAAUACCGGCAGCCCGAGUGAUGGCCGAUAUUAUUGGGCCUAAAGCGUCCGUAGCUGGCCGAACAAGUCCGUCGGGAAAUCCACGUGCUUAACACGUGGGCGACCGGCGGAAACUGUUCGGCUUGGGGCCGGAGGACCCGAGGGGUACGUCCGGGGUAGGAGUGAAAUCCUGUAAUCCUGGACGGACCGCCGGUGGCGAAAGCGCCUCGGGAAGACGGACCCGACAGUGAGGGACGAAAGCUGGGAUCUCGAACCGGAUU
rnacentral:rRNA from 1 species